CCUCUGGCUGUGACCAUCCAACCAUUUCCUCAUCCACUGAACAGUCCAUCCAUCAAAUCUUUAUCCCUCCUAUUUAGAGAGAAGGAUGUCAUGGGGGACUGUGUCAAAGGCCUUGCAGAAGUCCAGAGCUUCUAGAAGGAUCUGUUCCAUGAUCUUCCCAGGCACAGAGGUGAGGCUGACAGGGAGAGGACUUUGCUCCCCCAGUCCUGCCUUGUGGUCCAUGCACUUGAGAGCUGUGGGAAGCGAGGUUGCCAGUGAAGACUGAAGCAAAAAAGCCUUCUCCUUGUCCAUUGUUACCACUUUGCCAGUCGUGUUCAUCAGGAGCCAUACCCUUUCUUUGACCUUCCUUUUCUGUCUGACACACCUGUAGAAGCCCUUCUUAUCCUUUGCGUCUCUUGCCAAGGUCAGCUCCAGCUGCACCUUGGCCUUCCCCACGCCAUCCCUACACAACCGGGCAGCGUCCCUGUACUGUCCCCAGGAUAUCUGUCCCUGCUCCCGCUGCCUGUGCCUUACCUUCUUGCCCUUUAGUUUGACCAGCAGGUCUCGACCCUUCCAUGCUGGUCUCUUGCCUUCCUUACCUGGUUUCUUACACCUGGGGAUCGAGAGCUCUUGCACUCUGUGGGAAGUGUCCUACAGAUCUGCCAGCUCCGUUCUGCUGUCUCCUCCCUGAGGGCAGUUUCCCAAGGGGUCCU